rnacentral:rRNA from 1 species
GAUGAACGCUGGCGGCGUGCCUAAUACAUGCAAGUCGAGCGAACGGACGAGAAGCUUGCUUCUCUGAUGUUAGCGGCGGACGGGUGAGUAACACGUGGAUAACCUACCUAUAAGACUGGGAUAACUUCGGGAAACCGGAGCUAAUACCGGAUAAUAUUUUGAACCGCAUGGUUCAAAAGUGAAAGACGGUCUUGCUGUCACUUAUAGAUGGAUCCGCGCUGCAUUAGCUAGUUGGUAAGGUAACGGCUUACCAAGGCAACGAUGCAUAGCCGACCUGAGAGGGUGAUCGGCCACACUGGAACUGAGACACGGUCCAGACUCCUACGGGAGGCUGCAGUAGGGAAUCUUCCGCAAUGGGCGAAAGCCUGACGGAGCAACGCCGCGUGAGUGAUGGAGGUCUUCGGAUCGUAAAACUCUGUUAUUAGGGAAGAACAUAUGUGUAAGUAACUGUGCACAUCUUGACGGUACCUAAUCAGAAAGCCACGGCUAACUACGUGCCAGCAGCCGCGGUAAUACGUAGGUGGCAAGCGUUAUCCGGAAUUAUUGGGCGUAAAGCGCGCGUAGGCGGUUUUUUAAGUCUGAUGUGAAAGCCCACGGCUCAACCGUGGAGGGUCAUUGGAAACUGGAAAACUUGAGUGCAGAAGAGGAAAGUGGAAUUCCAUGUGUAGCGGUGAAAUGCGCAGAGAUAUGGAGGAACACCAGUGGCGAAGGCGACUUUCUGGUCUGUAACUGACGCUGAUGUGCGAAAGCGUGGGGAUCAAACAGGAUUAGAUACCCUGGUAGUCCACGCCGUAAACGAUGAGUGCUAAGUGUUAGGGGGUUUCCGCCCCUUAGUGCUGCAGCUAACGCAUUAAGCACUCCGCCUGGGGAGUACGACCGCAAGGUUGAAACUCAAAGGAAUUGACGGGGACCCGCACAAGCGGUGGAGCAUGUGGUUUAAUUCGAAGCAACGCGAAGAACCUUACCAAAUCUUGACAUCCUUUGACAACUCUAGAGAUAGAGCUUUCCCCUUCGGGGGACAAAGUGACAGGUGGUGCAUGGUUGUCGUCAGCUCGUGUCGUGAGAUGUUGGGUUAAGUCCCGCAACGAGCGCAACCCUUAAGCUUAGUUGCCAUCAUUAAGUUGGGCACUCUAAGUUGACUGCCGGUGACAAACCGGAGGAAGGUGGGGAUGACGUCAAAUCAUCAUGCCCCUUAUGAUUUGGGCUACACACGUGCUACAAUGGACAAUACAAAGGGCAGCGAAACCGCGAGGUCAAGCAAAUCCCAUAAAGUUGUUCUCAGUUCGGAUUGUAGUCUGCAACUCGACUACAUGAAGCUGGAAUCGCUAGUAAUCGUAGAUCAGCAUGCUACGGUGAAUACGUUCCCGGGUCU